rnacentral:lncRNA from 1 species
AUAUUUUAUUAUAUUUUGCACUGAUUUGGAUUUUUAUUUAAUAUAUUUUCAUGUUUUAUUGUAGGGAAUAAAGAAUUCCAAGUUGAGAAGGAUUUGAAGAUAAAUUAGCUAUUUUGGAGCUAAUUUCUAUUAAAAUUCGGAUUUAUUGGGUUCUACCCGAUUUCUGCACUGUUUGGGUCAUAACUUGAGUUCCGGAUGUCAGAUUUGGACGAUCUUACAGCCCACGCGAAGCCCUUGAAAUUU